rnacentral:rRNA from 1 species
GACGAACGCUGGCGGCGUGCCUAAUACAUGCGAGUUGAGCGCUGAAGGUUGGUACUUGUACCGACUGGAUGAGCAGCGAACGGGUGAGUAACGCGUGGGGAAUCUGCCUUUGAGCGGGGGACGACAUUUGGAAACGAAUGCUAAUACCGCAUAAAAACUUUAAACACAAGUUUUAAGUUUGAAAGAUGCAAUUGCAUCACUCAAAGAUGAUCCCGCGUUGUAUUAGCUAGUUGGUGAGGUAAAGGCUCACCAAGGCGAUGAUACAUAGCCGACCUGAGAGGGUGAUCGGCCACAUUGGGACUGAGACACGGCCCAAACUCCUACGGGAGGCAGCAGUAGGGAAUCUUCGGCAAUGGACGAAAGUCUGACCGAGCAACGCCGCGUGAGUGAAGAAGGUUUUCGGAUCGUAAAACUCUGUUGGUAGAGAAGAACGUUGGUGAGAGUGGAAAGCUCAUCAAGUGACGGUAACUACACAGAAAGGCACGGCUAACUACGUG